GGCAAACGCGGGCCGGGGGGCGGGGGAAAAGGUGGGGGGGAAGGGUUAUCCGGAUUUACUGGGUGGAAAGGGAGGGGAGACGGCGCAGCAAGUCUGAUGUGAAAGGCAGGGGCUUAACCCCUGGACUGCAUUGGAAACUGCUGUGCUUGAGUGCCGGAGGGGUAAGCGGAAUUCCUAGUGUAGCGGUGAAAUGCGUAGAUAUUAGGAGGAACACCAGUUGCGAAGGCGGCUCUCUGGACUGUAACUGACACUGAGGCACGAAAGCGUGGGGAGCAAACAGGAUUAGAUACCCCUGUAGUC
rnacentral:rRNA from 1 species